UACGGGAGGCAGCAGUAGGGAAUCUUCCGCAAUGGACGAAAGUCUGACGGAGCAACGCCGCGUGAACGAUGAAGGCUUUCGGGUCGUAAAGUUCUGUUGUUAGGGAGAACAAGUACCGGAGUAACUGCCGGUACCUUGACGGUACCUAACCAGAAAGCCACGGCUAACUACGUGCCAGCAGCCGCGGUAAUACGUAGGUGGCAAGCGUUGUCCGGAAUUAUUGGGCGUAAAGCGCGCGCAGGCGGUCCUUUAAGUCUGAUGUGAAAGCCCACGGCUCAACCGUGGAGGGUCAUUGGAAACUGGGGACUUGAGUGCAGAAGAGGAGAGUGGAAUUCCACGUGUAGCGGUGAAAUGCGUAGAGAUGUGAGGAACACCAGUGGCGAAGGCGACUCUCUGGUCUGUAACUGACGCUGAGGCGCGAAAGCGUGGGGAGCGAACGAGGAUUAGAUACC
rnacentral:rRNA from 1 species